GGGAAGGGAAGGGAAGGGAAGGGAAGGGAAGGCCCUCUCUGCUUAUUUUUUGUAUUUGUGCUCUGGUUAUGGAUGUGUUUUAGAUAUUGAAUGGUUGCAGCUUUAAUAAAAUUUGUGAUUAAAGUUCUCAUAGCAGCUCUGCACAAGGAAGGAUGCUGGCUUGGAAGUAAAACUUUAAGGGAAUGCAACUGGCUAACGUCUCCUAAAACUUCCUCCUCUUAAUUGAAAAGUACAAGAGCAAGAAAUGCAGGGAUGUUUACAUGCGGCCUGGAUGGGAUAACAAAUAAAGAACAAAGUGGAAUCCUCAAAAUCAGGAGGAAAUGUGUUUAAGUGGCUUCAGAUCCACUAUCUCAACAUCUCUUCAAGCUGUAAAGCACUUAAUUAGCUAAUUUUGGUGGAUUUCAUCAAAGAUUCCUACCAGGAAGAUUUCUGAGGUGGGAGCAGUAAGGCAACAGGCAACUGGGACCUUUCUCCCUGCUGCUAUGUAGCCUCUGAUCCUGUGUGCCUAGCACCAGUGUCUUCUCCAGCCAUCCUCCCCUCGGCCAUCCAGACUGUGGGCACUGCAGUAGCACACUGAUGGGCUGAGAGGCUGUGAAAGAUGAGAACUGGAAGAGGCAACAGGAAGGGAGAGCAAAAUUAGGUGGUACAGAGUCAGGAAGACUUAAACAACAUGAAUUAAAUGCCAUAGAUAUAAGCAUGCACAAUAAAAAAGGUGUUUAUAUGCCUAUUGUCUUUUCUGUGAUACUUUUCUGAUUCUUCUCUGUCUGGGCUUGGUGUCUAGCUAUUUUGCUAUUUUUUUGUCUUUAGUGUUUAAUACUAUUGUGUUGGACUAAUUAUCAGUGUAUUUAUAUGUGUGUGCGUGUACCCUGAACAGAUAUUUGCCUGAAAAACUGGAACAUAAAAUAUACAGUAUUUCUGUUUUGAUAAAACAUUACAACUUAUACUUCAGUUUCUCUGCCUUUCUUUAAACAAGAAAUUGUUUAACAAUUUGAACAUUAAAACAGCCCCUUUCCACCCAAGCCUCUCAAUGGUGGUCUGUUUAAAUGUUUUGCAGAGUAAGUAGUUUAAUAAUGUAGGUAGGAAACUAACUCUUCAAAUAGAAACAUAAAAGUUCACAUUUGUUUGUUUGUUUGUUUGCUUGCUUGCUUGUUUGUUUGUUUAAACAUAUUACAGAGGAAUGGGUGUAACAGAUGUUUGAAAUCUGAAGUGAGUUCUGCUGAAACUCUUUGCACACUACAUGCUACAUUUCUGUCACCAACUGGAUUUUUAUUUAUGAAGUUCUGUUUUUUUUCUGUUUGCCUUCUAAGAUUGUUGGUAC